AACCAUAGAAACCUGCGGAGUACCUGCGGAAGGAUCAUUAAUAGAGUGUAACCCCCCCUGUAAAAAAAAGGGGGUAACCUCCCGUCCUUUGCUGGUCCCCUAUUUGGGGGGUCUUUUAUUUUGACUUUGCUUCGGUGGGGUAACCCACCGGAACACCCUUAAAAAUUCUUGAUUUUAAAAAUUGUUCAGUCCGAGAUUAUAUUUUAAACAAAUUGAAAACUUUCAGCAAUGGAUCUCAGA
rnacentral:misc_RNA from 1 species